ACGAAAAAUGAAUACCAAGUCUCAAGAGUGAACACGUAAUUCAUUACGAAGUUUAAUUCAUUGAGCAUCAAACUUUUAAAUUGAAGAGUUUGAUCAUGGCUCAGAUUGAACGCUGGCGGCAGGCCUAACACAUGCAAGUCGAACGGUAACAGGAAGCAGCUUGCUGCUUUGCUGACGAGUGGCGGACGGGUGAGUAAUGUCUGGGAAACUGCCUGAUGGAGGGGGAUAACUACUGGAAACGGUGGCUAAUACCGCAUAACGUCGCAAGACCAAAGAGGGGGACCUUCGGGCCUCUUGCCAUCAGAUGUGCCCAGAUGGGAUUAGCUUGUUGGUGAGGUAACGGCUCACCAAGGCGACGAUCCCUAGCUGGUCUGAGAGGAUGACCAGCCACACUGGAACUGAGACACGGUCCAGACUCCUACGGGAGGCAGCAGUGGGGAAUAUUGCACAAUGGGCGCAAGCCUGAUGCAGCCAUGCCGCGUGUAUGAAGAAGGCCUUCGGGUUGUAAAGUACUUUCAGCGGGGAGGAAGGUGUUGUGGUUAAUAACCGCAGCAAUUGACGUUACCCGCAGAAGAAGCACCGGCUAACUCCGUGCCAGCAGCCGCGGUAAUACGGAGGGUGCAAGCGUUAAUCGGAAUUACUGGGCGUAAAGCGCACGCAGGCGGUCUGUCAAGUCGGAUGUGAAAUCCCCGGGCUCAACCUGGGAACUGCAUUCGAAACUGGCAGGCUUGAGUCUUGUAGAGGGGGGNNNNNNNNNNNNNNNNNNNNGUAGCGGUGAAAUGCGUAGAGAUCUGGAGGAAUACCGGUGGCGAAGGCGGCCCCCUGGACAAAGACUGACGCUCAGGUGCGAAAGCGUGGGGAGCAAACAGGAUUAGAUACCCUGGUAGUCCACGCCGUAAACGAUGUCUACUUGGAGGUUGUGCCCUUGAGGCGUGGCUUCCGGAGCUAACGCGUUAAGUAGACCGCCUGGGGAGUACGGCCGCAAGGUUAAAACUCAAAUGAAUUGACGGGGGCCCGCACAAGCGGUGGAGCAUGUGGUUUAAUUCGAUGCAACGCGAAGAACCUUACCUGGUCUUGACAUCCACGGAAGUUUUCAGAGAUGAGAAUGUGCCUUCGGGAACCGUGAGACAGGUGCUGCAUGGCUGUCGUCAGCUCGUGUUGUGAAAUGUUGGGUUAAGUCCCGCAACGAGCGCAACCCUUAUCCUUUGUUGCCAGCGGUCCGGCCGGGAACUCAAAGGAGACUGCCAGUGAUAAACUGGAGGAAGGUGGGGAUGACGUCAAGUCAUCAUGGCCCUUACGACCAGGGCUACACACGUGCUACAAUGGCGCAUACAAAGAGAAGCGACCUCGCGAGAGCAAGCGGACCUCAUAAAGUGCGUCGUAGUCCGGAUUGGAGUCUGCAACUCGACUCCAUGAAGUCGGAAUCGCUAGUAAUCGUGGAUCAGAAUGCCACGGUGAAUACGUUCCCGGGCCUUGUACACACCGCCCGUCACACCAUGGGAGUGGGUUGCAAAAGAAGUAGGUAGCUUAACCUUCGGGAGGGCGCUUACCACUUUGUGAUUCAUGACUGGGGUGAAGUCGUAACAAGGUAACCGUAGGGGAACCUGCGGUUGGAUCACCUCCUUACCUUAAAGAAGCGUACUUUGCAGUGCUCACACAGAUUGUCUGAUGAAAA
rnacentral:rRNA from 1 species